GCAUCUUUAGUGUAAUGUAACAUUUUAGUUUUAGAAACUAAAGAUUGAAGUGAUGUU
rnacentral:tRNA from 1 species